CUGAGCAGCGUUGACCCAUAUUCAUUUCCUGAAACAGAAAAUUUACAGAGGUGUGAGUAAAUUGGGUUAUUCAAAGGUACAAUACGUUUUCAUUCUUUAGUUUACUCUAAGCACAAAGUAUGUUUUUUC